UUACUGAAAUACCAUGAAUUUCGAUCCCCCAUUCCAAACCGCAGCUUGACGUAAAAAGGAAUAUAUAAGAAAUUUUCAACACACGAACAGUUUUCAGCUGUUUAUUCGCGUGGAAUAAAUUCAGUUCCAGAGGAAGUGGAGAUGAAGCCAGCUAGGGCUCAAUGUACGAAUUUUCGUUUCUAUACGCUAUAAGAACAAAAUUUAUAUUUACUAGCAAAGUAAUAUUAGACUAUGAUGGCUCUUAAAUAAAUGUGCAAAUAAUACUGCGAA